ensembl:lncRNA novel transcript
UGAACUGGCAGAGAGAGAUGGUUAUUAGAAAAUAAAAUGCACUUAGAGUCCCCCAUGAAUCAUUUAUGGGAGACACCAUGCUUAGCAAAGACUAUGAAAAUAUGGCUGUUAAGGGCAACUCAGGCACUAUUUCUGGAUGACUUUCAAGCAUGACCACUAGCUACAGGACUGGGCCUGGACACAUUAGAAGAAUUUAGGCCUUCAGGAUGAAAAGGAAAAUGUGUGGGCAGAGACUGAGUCCAAGGCAGUGGCCUUCACAAGUCACCCUGUGAUGGUGUCCAUACUGCGAGGCAUCCCUCACCCGAGAAAGCAACUUUUUCUGCACGGGAUGACUCUGGUUACAUUUGCUUGUUCCCGCCAUGAAUAAAAGGAAGAGAGGUCAGCUGAAGAGGCAAUUAAUUCAACACAACUGAGUCUACGACUAAAGGAAAAUGGACGAGCUUCCCCACAGGCAGUAGGAGUGCCCACCCCAGGGGUCCGGUUUAUCAAGGAAUUUCAAAGCAUCCCCUGCCACGUGCUUCUGACUCCUCCACUACCUCGCUUUGGAAUAAGUGGUUAAAAAAGAGAAACCUCUGUUUAUUGGACUGACGGAGCAACUGGACUUGUUGAGGUUGCAUUGCUCAGGGUGGCUCCAGGCAAGCAGACAGCUGAGAG